AUAGCGUAUAUUAAAGUUGUUGCAGUUAAAACGCUCGUAGUUGAACUUCAGACCUGGCCGGGCGGUCCGCUUAACGGCAUGUACUGUCUGGCUUGGCCUUACCUCUUGGUGAGCCGGCGUGCCCUUUAUUGGCGUGCGUCGGGGAACCAGGACUUUUACCUUGAGAAAAUUAGAGUGUUCAAAGCAGGCCUAUGCCCGAAUACAUUAGCAUGGAAUAAUAAAAUAGGACGUGCGGUUCUAUUUUGUUGGUUUCUAGAGUCGCCGUAAUGAUUAAUAGGGAUAGUUGGGGGCAUUGGUAUUGAGUCGCUAGAGGUGAAAUUCUUGGAUUGACUCAAGACCAACUGUUG
rnacentral:rRNA from 1 species